UCGGCACACUGCUCAGUAACACGUGGACAAUCUGCCCUCAGGUGGGGGAUAACCUCGAGAAAUUGAGAAUAAUACCCCAUAGGGCCUGUAUGCUGGAACGCUUCAGGUCUCAAAGCUGCGGCGCCUGAGGAUGAGUCUGCGGCUCAUCAGGUUGUAGUGAGUGUAACGGACUCACUAGCCGACAACGAGUACGGGCCUUGGAAGAGGUUGCCCGGAGAUGGACUCUGAGACACGAGUCCAGGCCCUACGGGGCGCAGCAGGCGCGAAAACUUCGCAAUGUGGGAAACCACGACGAGGGAAUUCCAAGUGCUCAUGGUUUUCCAUGGGCUGUUUUCCUGCCUAAAUAGCAGGGAGAGUAAGGGCUGGGUAAGACGGGUGCCAGCCGCCGCGGUAAUACCCGCAGCCCGAGUGGUGAUCGUUUUUAUUGGGCCUAAAGCGUCCGUAGCCGGUUUAGUAAAUCCUUGGGCAAAUCGGGCAGCUUAACUGUCCGAAUUCCGGGGAGACUGCUAAACUUGGGACUGGGAGAGGUCGGAGGUACUCCGGGGGUAGAGGUGAAAUUCUGUAAUCCCUGGGGGACCACCAGUGGCGAAGGCGUCCGACUUGAACGGGUCCGACGGUGAGGGACGAAGCCCUGGGGCACAAACCGGAUUAGAUACCCGGGUAGUCCAGGGUGUAAACGCUGCGGGCUUGGUGUUGGGGGUCCUACGUGGGCGCUCAGUGCCGGAGAGAAGUUGUUAAGCCCGCCGCCUGGGGAGUACGGUCGCAAGACUGAAACUUAAAGGAAUUGGCGGGGGAGCACUGCAACGGGUGGAGCGUGCGGUUUAAUUGGAUUCAACGCCGAAAAACUCACCGGGGGCGACUAUUAGAUGAAGGCCAGGCUGAUGACCUUACCUGAUUUUCAGAGAGGUGGUGCAUGGCCGCCGUCAGUUCGUACCGCAAGGCGUUCUGUUAAGUCAGAUAACGAACGAGAUCCCCGCCCUUAAUUGCCAUCCUGUCCUCCGGGACAGAGGAACAUUAAGGGGACCGCUGGCGCUAAGUCAGAGGAAGGUGGGGGCAACGGUAGGUCCGUAUGCCCCGAAUCCCCCGGGCAACACGCGCGCUACAAAGGACGGGACAAUGGGUCCCUACACCGAAAGGUGACGGUAAUCCCGAAACCCGUUCAUAGUCCGGAUUGAGGGCUGUAACCCGCUCUCAUGAAGUUGGAAUCCGUAGUAAUCGCGGGUCAACAUCCCGCGGUGAAUAUGCCCCUGCUCCUUGCACACACCGCCCGUCAAACCAUCUGAGUUGGGUUGAAGUGAGGGCACCUCAUUUUGUGGUGUUCGAACUUUGGUUCAGCAAGGAGGGUUAAGUCGUAACAAGGUA
rnacentral:rRNA from 1 species